rnacentral:rRNA from 1 species
GGUCACUUUACACAGGUGCUGCAUGCCCGUCGUCAGCUCGUGUCGUGAGAUGUUGGGUUAAGUCCCGCAACGAGCGCAACCCCUGUGAUUAGUUGCCAGCACGUAAUGGUGGGGACUCUAAUCAGACUGCCCAGAUCAACUGGGAGGAAGGUGGGGAUGACGUCAGGUCAGUAUGGCCCUUACGCCCUGGGCUGCACACGUACUACAAUGCCCAGUACAAUUAGAACCGAGACCGCGAGGUGGAGGAAAUCUUUAAAACUGGGCCCAGUUCGGAUUGGAGGCUGCAACUCGCCUCCAUGAAGCCGGAAUCGCUAGUAAUGGUGCAUCAGCUACGGCACCGUGAAUACGUUCCCGGGUCUUGUACACACCGCCCGUCGCAUCAUGGAAGCCGGUAGCACCCGAAGUAUCGUUAACUCGGUCUUAAGGUGAAGCUGGUAACUGGGAUGAAGUCGUAACAAGGUAGCCGUA